AAGUCGUAACAAGGUUUCCGUAGGUGAACCUGCGGAAGGAUCAUUAUUACGUUAUCCAACGUCAAACCCAAAUUGUGAAAUGUUUGAUCGGAGGUUUAAGAGGUGGGGAUGCAAAGGCGUUCAUGACCACAUUGUGGGCCUUUGUUCCUACUUGAUUCAGUUCAAGUCAACAUCAUUAAACUUCUGUUUUAGAAAUUCCCGUCAUGAACAAUUUCGCCAAAUUUUAAUUAACCCCAAGUACACUUUAUUGAACUAAAACUCUGUUAACUUCUUUGCGCAAGCAUCGUGGUUAAUCGAAAAACCGAAAAUAAGAAAACAACUCUUAACAACGGAUAUCUUGGUUCUC
rnacentral:misc_RNA from 1 species